AUUUUAUGACUGAAUAAUAGCUUAUUGUGUAUAUAUAUAUGUGUGUGUGUGUGUAUGUGUGUGUGUAUAUAUACAUAUACAUAUACAUAUACAUAUACAUAUACAUAUAU
rnacentral:miRNA from 1 species